GCUUCUUCUCAUCCUCCGCAAUAUCAGUCUAUAAGAUAUUGCUCUCUCCUGGUGCUCCUCCUACCUCUCCCAGCGCUCUUUCAGUGUUUCUUUCUCUGGCUCUGCUUCUUCUCCCCAACUCCUCUCUGUUGGCGUCCCCCAAGGUUCAGUCCUUGGUCCCCUACUGUUCUCCAUCUAUACUGCCUCCCUUGGAAAACUCAUUAGCU